UGAGGAUUAUAAUGCAGUUGUGUACGGAGAGUACGUGAGGGAGCUCCGAGAGGCACUUGUGGCAUACCUCAAGGGUUGUACAUCUAACAACCAAGGUGACAAAUACGAACUCCAGAAAAAGCGUUCGCAGGUGCAGAGCAUAGCCAAUAAUAUGGUGAACCAUAAUGUGUUUGUGGACCCAAUGGCCUGUGAUCGCUGGCUGAAAAAGGACCAAAACAAACAUGUGAAACAGUUCAAUGAGAUCAGAGCUGCAUUGAAGAAAAUGAUCCAGAACAUCCUGAAGGACUUCAAAGAAGUGUCUAAAAAGAUCAAAGGCUUUCGUGAGGGAAACAGCUGUAACAGCUAGAGACAUCAAGAGAUCUGUCUUCUGACCCGGAGUAAUCACUGGGAGGAGCUCUUCUUUCUGAAAUCAAUAAGCAAUGCUUUGGUUUUACCCACAUUCAGUUUUAAAUCACAUGAGCUAAUAAUAAUAAUUUAAACUCUCUUUGUAGGCCAGAUCAUUGCCUUGUUUAAUUAAACCCAACAGGGCUCUAUCAUCUAAAAACUCAAGUAUUUGACAAGAGACCGUACGAAGCCAUGGGACUCUUUUUAUAGUUAAAUAAGAAUAGUUGACCCAAAAAUGAGAAUCUGUUGAUACUUUACUCACUCGCAGACCAUUCAAGAUUCACAAACCUCAUUUCCACAGAAGAGGGACAUUAGAGAAAUUACAAUACACAAAAGAAAAGAUUGUAUGUUUGUAAUGUAUGAUGUGUUUUAUUUGUGUGUGUUGUGUGUUGAAGCCAAAGACAAAUUUAAACUCACAGAACUGAGCCUUCAAUUACAAUAUCCCAAAUAUCCCAACUUUUCUGGAAAUGGGGUUUGCAGAAUAAGUUUUGUUUGAUGUAUUGAAGCAUUUCUUGUGAUCUAAGGAUUCUCAAUAGCCUACUUAAUUUAUACCAUUUAUCAUUUAAUCAUUUCAUUGUUAUUAAUUUAUGUAAUUUUAUGUUUUUAUAUUUUAUCAUACUAAUUUCCUUUCUAUUGUUGUUUAAUCUUAUGAUUGUGUGGUUUGAAGGGAUGUUUGUCUUCAUGAGAAAGAGAAAAGAAAAUGUCUCCAUUUCAGGGUUUUUAACAUCACUGGACGAUGAUGUGAAGAAGUCAUUUUUCAUUGUUUUUCCCUUAAUAUAAUAACACUUGUUGGAUUUGUGAUGGUCAGAUGAAGUCUGAGCAUUAAAACAUACGCAACUAAGAUUAUUCAAUAAAGUCUGCUCUUUUUAUUCUCAUCA